rnacentral:lncRNA from 1 species
UCCUGUUCUCCAGAGUCUGUGAAUUUGUUCCCUUACAUGGCAAAAGGGAAUUACAGUUGCAAGUGGAAUUAAGGUAGAUUAGUUGCACACAGACAGAAACACACAUUGUGUGUGUGUGUUGCUCACUGUUGUAUCCCUAGCACGUAGGAAAGUUGCCUUAUACACAGUAAGUGCUCAGUUUAUCUUCACUGACUCAAGGAACUCACAACUUAGGAAUCUAUUUAUUCCUCAAAACUCCUUAAAACUAGGGGAUUCGAUUCUCCAUUUGACAGAAGAAAAGGCUGAGGAUGGGGAGCUUAAUGGGUUAAGGAGAUUAGCCUCGGUUACCCAGGUGGACCCAAUGCAAUCACCUGUCCCUAUAAUGGAAGAUCGGCAGGAGAGAGCGAACAGCGAAGGCAGGCAGGCAGCACCAGGGGGUCUCAGUCCAGUUUUUCUGGCUUUGAGGACAGGACGGGCCACAGAACAAGGCAGCUUCUGUCUAGCAGAUGGAAAAAGCAAGGGACUGGGCUCUCCUGAGACCCUCUAGAAAGAAACACAGCCCUGCCAGCAGCUUGCUUUCAGCUCGAUAAAACAAAGAAGUGAGGAAACAACUUCUAUCACCAUGAGAGACACCUGGGAACAUCGAUCUCUGUUGGGAAGGGGGAGCAUUUGGAAAAUGAUACCCACUGGACACUUGCUGAUGGAGAGUUCGUCAGUUUCAUCUAACAAACUGGAAUCACCGGGGCCACCCAGGAACUGAAGCAGCUCAUGAAGAAAUCCCAUGUCAACAGGGCAGUUAAAAGCCAACCCGUCGGGGAGGGCAGAAUGGAGGAAGGACAAGAGGGUUCUGAUAUGUCCUGGACGCAGAGCUCCCAUGGAAGGUCCUCAGCACUUCUCAUGCUUCAAGUGGAAGUGAGUAAAUUCCUGACGCCCCCACCGCUUCUCUGCCCCUGGGGUAAUAAUGACAACAACAGAGCUCCUAUGGCGGGGUGGAGACGGCAGAGAGGUUUCUGUCUUUGA